rnacentral:rRNA from 1 species
GAUGAACGCUGGCGGCGUGCCUAAUACAUGCAAGUCGAGCGAACAGACGAGGAGCUUUCUCCUCUGACGUUAGCGGCGGACGGGUGAGUAACACGUGGAUAACCUACCUAUAAGACUGGGAUAACUUCGGGAAACCGGAGCUAAUACCGGAUAAUAUAUUGAACCGCAUGGUUCAAUAGUGAAAGACGGUUUUGCUGUCACUUAUAGAUGGAUCCGCGCCGCAUUAGCUAGUUGGUAAGGUAACGGCUUACCAAGGCAACGAUGCGUAGCCGACCUGAGAGGGUGAUCGGCCACACUGGAACUGAGACACGGUCCAGACUCCUACGGGAGGCAGCAGUAGGGAAUAUUCCGCAAUGGGCGAAAGCCUGACGGAGCAACGCCGCGUGAGUGAUGAAGGUCUUCGGAUCGUAAAACUCUGUUAUUAGGGAAGAACAAAUGUGUAAGUAACUAUGCACGUCUUGACGGUACCUAAUCAGAAAGCCACGGCUAACUACGUG